UACGAUCACCGAAGUUAAGCAACAUCGAGCUUGGUCAGUACCUAGAUGGGUGACCACUUGGGAAUACCAGGU